rnacentral:rRNA from 1 species
GGGUUGUGAGGUUAAGCGACUAAGCGUACACGGUGGAUGCCCUGGCAGUCAGAGGCGAUGAAGACGUGCUAAUCUGCGAUAAGCGUCGGUAAGGUGAUAUGAACCGUUAUAACCGGCGAUUUCCGAAUGGGGAAACCCAGUGUGAUUCGUCACACUAUCAUUAACUGAAUCCAUAG